rnacentral:rRNA from 1 species
UACGUAGGGGGCAAGCGUUGUCCGGAUUUAUUGGGCGUAAAGAGCGUGUAGGCGGCUUUACAGGUCCGUUGUGAAAACUCGAGGCUCAACCUCGAGACGCCGGUGGAAACCGUAAGGCUAGAGUCCGGAAGAGGAGAGUGGAAUUCCUGGUGUAGCGGUGAAAUGCGCAGAUAUCAGGAGGAACACCCGUGGCGAAAGCGGCUCUCUGGGACGGUACUGACGCUGAGACGCGAAAGCUAGGGGAGCAAACAGG